rnacentral:tRNA from 1 species
GUCAGCAUAGCUCAGCGGUAGAGCACCCGUUUCAUAAGCGGGACGUCGCAGGUUCGAAUCCUGCUGUUGACACCA